rnacentral:rRNA from 2 species
UCAUAGACGAUGAGGUUGAUAGGUUCGGUGUGGAAGUGCAGUAAUGCAUGGAGCUGACGAAUACUAAUCGGUCGAGGACUUAUCCACA